GCCCGUUACACACCCGUCCCAUGGCCACUCACCCCUUUACACUCACAGCACACCCCCCUACUACCCCUGGUGCCCAUUGCACACCCAUUGCACCCUUGUUACCCUUUGCACACCCAUUGCACAACCCUUACCCUUUGCACACCCGUUGCACACACCCCCAUUGCAUGCCUGUUCCCCAUGACACACCCUUUGCACACCCACUACACACCCUUUACACACCCUUUGCACAACCAUCACGCAUCUGUUACACCAUUUGCCCUUUGUAUACCCAUUACACACCCUUUAUACCCUCUUUACACACUCAUUACACAACCUUUGCACCCCAUUACCCCACACAACCUGUUAAACCCCCUUUGCACACCCAUUACCCUCUGCACAGCCAUUACACACCCUUUGCACCUCCAUUGCACCCCCAUUGCAGCCCUGUUACCCUUUGCACUCCCAUUACACCUGUUACCCUUUGCACCCGUUGCACACCCAUUACCCAUCACACACCCAUUACACCCACACUACAGCCCCACUGCCCAUUGCACACUCGUUCUACCCUCCUGUUACCCACUGCACCCUCAUUGCACACCCAUUACACCCCCAUUACAGCCCCGUUACCCGUUGCACACCCGUUCCACCCUCCCGUUACCCUUCGCACCCCCGUUGCACACCCAUGUUGCACACCCAUUACCCAUCACACACCCAUUACACCCACACUACAGCCCCACUGCCCAUUGCACACUCGUUCUACCCUCCUGUUACCCACUGCACCCCCAUUGCACACACCCACUACACCCCCGUUACAGCCCCCCGUUACCCUUCGUACUCCCAUUGCACACUUGUUAACCAUUGCACACCCGUUACACCCCCCUGUUACCCUUUUGCACCCCAUUGCACACCUGCUACACCCCCAUUACAGCCCCAUUACCCGUUGCACACCCGUCCCCCCGUUACCCUUCACACCCCUGUUGCACACCCAUUACAGCCCCGUAACCUGUUGCAUCCCCGUUGUGCCCUCCCAUUACCCUUCGCACCCCCAUUGCACACCCGUUCCCUGUUGCACCCCGAUUACACUCCCCCAUUAUCCUUUGCACCCCCGUUGCACCCCCGUUACCCAUUGCACACCCAUUACCCCCUCAUUACGGCCCCGUUACCCGUUGCACCCCCGUUCCACCUCCUCGUUCAACCCCCCCGUUACCCUUCGCACCCCCGUUGCACACCCGUUCCAGCCCCCUGUUACCCUUCG
rnacentral:lncRNA from 1 species